rnacentral:tRNA from 1 species
GUGUAGCUCAGUGGUAGGGCUCUUGCCUAGAAUGCACAAAGCCCUGGGUUCAAUCCCCAGCAC